rnacentral:rRNA from 2 species
UCUCGGCAACGGAUAUCUCGGCUCUCGCAUCGAUGAAGAACGUAGCGAAAUGCGAUACCUGGUGUGAAUUGCAGAAUCCCGCGAACCAUCGAGUCUUUGAACGCAAGUUGCGCCCGAGGCCAUUCGGNCGAGGGCACGCCUGCCUGGGCGUCACGCAAAACACGCUC